rnacentral:rRNA from 1 species
UACGGAGGGUGCAAGCGUUAUCCGGAUUCACUGGGUUUAAAGGGUGCGUAGGCGGGUUGGUAAGUCCGUUGUGAAAUCCCUGGGCUCAACCUGGGAAUGGCAGUGGAUACUGGCAAGCUAGAGUGCGGUAGAGGGUAGUGGAAUUCCCGGUGUAGCAGUGAAAUGCGUAGAGAUCGGGAGGAACACCAGUGGCGAAGGCGGCUACCUGGACCAGCACUGACACUGAGGCACGAAAGCGUGGGGAGCAAACAGG